rnacentral:rRNA from 1 species
UGGGGAAUUUUGGACAAUGGGCGCAAGCCUGAUCCAGCCAUGCCGCGUGAGUGAAGAAGGCCUUCGGGUUGUAAAGCUCUUUCGGUGGGGAAGAAAUUGCACUUGUUAAUACCGAGUGUAGAUGACGGUACCCGCAUAAGAAGCACCGGCUAACUACGUGCCAGCAGCCGCGGUAAUACGUAGGGUGCGAGCGUUAAUCGGAAUUACUGGGCGUAAAGCGUGCGCAGGUGGUUGUGUAAGUCAGAUGUGAAAUCCCCGGGCUCAACCUGGGAACUGCAUUUGAGACUGCACGGCUAGAGGAUGGCAGAGGGGGGUAGAAUUCCACGUGUAGCAGUGAAAUGCGUAGAGAUGUGGAGGAAUACCGAUGGCGAAGGCAGCCCCCUGGGCUAUUACUGACACUCAUGCACGAAAGCGUGGGGAGCAAACAGG